GACGAACGCUGGCGGCGUGCCUAAUACAUGCAAGUUGAGCGCUGAAGGUUGGUACUUGUACCGACUGGAUGAGCAGCGAACGGGUGAGUAACGCGUGGGGAAUCUGCCUUUGAGCGGGGGACAACAUUUGGAAACGAAUGCUAAUACCGCAUAAAAACUUUAAACACAAGUUUUAAGUUUGAAAGAUGCAAUUGCAUCACUCAAAGAUGAUCCCGCGUUGUAUUAGCUAGUUGGUGAGGUAAAGGCUCACCAAGGCGAUGAUACAUAGCCGACCUGAGAGGGUGAUCGGCCACAUUGGGACUGAGACACAGCCCAAACUCCUACGGGAGGCAGCAGUAGGGAAUCUUCGGCAAUGGACGAAAGUCUGACCGAGCAACGCCGCGUGAGUGAAGAAGGUUUUCGGAUCGUAAAACUCUGUUGGCAGAGAAGAACGUUGGUGAGAGUGGAAAGCUCAUCAAGUGACGGUAACUACCCAGAAAGGGACGGCUAACUACGUG
rnacentral:rRNA from 1 species